rnacentral:rRNA from 1 species
AUUGAACGCUGGCGGCAGGCCUAACACAUGCAAGUCGAACGGUAACAGGAAGAAGCUUGCUUCUUUGCUGACGAGUGGCGGACGGGUGAGUAAUGUCUGGGAAACUGCCUGAUGGAGGGGGAUAACUACUGGAAACGGUAGCUAAUACCGCAUAACGUCGCAAGACCAAAGAGGGGGACCUUCGGGCCUCUUGCCAUCGGAUGUGCCCAGAUGGGAUUAGCUAGUAGGUGGGGUAACGGCUCACCUAGGCGACGAUCCCUAGCUGGUCUGGGAGGAUGACCAGCCACACUGGAACUGAGACACGGUCCAGGCUCCUACGGGAGGCAGCAGUGGGGAAUAUUGCACAAUGGGCGCAAGCCUGAUGCAGCCAUGCCGCGUGUAUGAAGAAGGCCUUCGGGUUGUAAAGUACUUUCAGCGGGGAGGAAGGGAGUAAAGUUAAUACCUUGACUCAUUGACGUUACCCGCAGAAGAAGCACCGGCUAACUCCGUG